rnacentral:lncRNA from 1 species
UUCUUCUUCACCUUCAUGCUCCCACGCCAUUUUCAUGCUUCCAUGCCAUUUUCACCUUGCCACCAUGCAUUUGAAAAGAAAAAUGGCUUUGUUUUGCAAAGAAAACCGUACUCUUGGAAAGAAAAUAGAUGAGAUCAGUUGGAAAAAAGGAGAAAGGAAAGAAAGGAGAAAGAAAAAGAGAGAAAGGAAGAAAAAGCUUGGUUUUGGUGAUUCAAGUAAGGAAAGGUAAGGAUUCUUGUUUUUAGCUUGAGUAAUCUUUGAAAAUGAGUUAGUGACUAAGAGAAAUGUCUUGUGGCAGCAAAGAUUGGCUUGAUUGGAGAAAAAUUGGUGACAUACAAGCCAAUAAACCCAUGGGUACAUGAUGAACUCAAAGUGAAAAAGGAAAGCGAUAAGCUUAACACUAUGUUUUCAAGCCUACGGUUAGUUGAAUAUUGUGAAGAAAUAAUUGUGCAAGUGUGGGCAGCAUAUGAAUGUAAAUUAUGGUGCAUGUAAACUUAUGAAAUGCUUGAUGAAAUUAGAUUUAUAAUUGCUGCCAUAUAUGUGGUUUAUGUUGAGAAAACAUAUGACAAAUUUGAAUAAAAAUCGUUGGAAAGGUUGAAAUGGGC